CUGGCGAUUCCCAUGCACAGCCCCGGGGGAGAAGAGCCUUGUUGAUGUUGAUCAGCAGGGAAGGAGGGACGGCUACGAGAGAGGCUGGAAGGACAGCGGGAAGCUCAGCGACAGCAGAGUUUGUAGGUGUUUCUGGUGAUAUAAGGAAUCCUGUUACCUGCAUUAGAAGUGGUGCCAUAUGUUAUCCACGCUCUUGUCCUGGAAGUUAUAAACAUAUCGGCGUCUGUGGUGUCUCUGUAAUAAAAUGCUGCAAAAAGCCAUGAGGAGGCCAAGAAGUUGCUGUAACUGAUGUGGAUUCAGAAAGGGCUCCCUCAUCAGAGAUAUGUGACAUGUAAACAAAAUUAAACUGUGGUGUUCAGAUUGACGGAAUCUUGAUCCUAGUCAUUGUGGUCAUUGUGUGGUGCUGGUUUGGGUGGGCCAAUCUCUAAUAUCCUUGGAACACCCUUUUCUGCUCUCCAGGCGAGGGUCAAGGAUGACACAGUGGGGCUUGGAGUGCUUUCCAGGGUACAGGCAUCUGUAUUAUUUGGAUCCCUUGACCUUCUCCGGUUAUUCCCGACAUUUUGUAGAACGUGUGCUUUGCUCCUCCUGCACCCUCCCCUUGUAUGCCUACCCCACGUAUUCCCUAAAAAAAGCAAGCCCAACUCAAAGACCACUUUCCUCAUGGAAUCAUAGCGGAUCUGCCAAGGGAGGGGAUGCCCAGUCCUCUGUUCUUCACAAGGACUCCCUUCUUCUGGUUAAG